ACAACAUUAGGACCGUCGGUAUGCCGAGCAAAUACACCCGCUCGCUGGAAGAUCUUCCCUGUGUCGU
rnacentral:pre_miRNA from 1 species